CGGGGAUUGGCCUAAUUGGUAAGGCGCUUGUCUCGGGGACAAGAGUAUAGUGGUUCGAGCCCACUAUCCCCGA
rnacentral:tRNA from 1 species